UUACAUGGAUAACCGUGACAAAUUACAGCUAAUACAUGCAGUCAGACCCUGUCCAAUUAUUAGUAUUAAACCAAUUCCUUCGGGAGUGUGAUGAAUCAUAGUAAUCGAACGAAUCUCAGAGUUCUGAGAUAAGUCAUUCAAGUUUCUGCCCUAUCAGCUUUGGAUGGUAGUGUAUUGGACUACCAUGGCAGUCACGGGUAACGGAGAAUUAGGGUUCGAUUCCGGAGAGGGAGCCUGAGAAACGGCUACCACAUCUAUGGAAGGCAGCAGGCGCGAAAAUUGCCCAAUCCUGAUUCAGGGAGGCAGUGACAAGAAAUAACAACUCUCGACUUUGUUGAGAAGUGUAAUGAGGAUAAUUUACAAACCUUACCGAAAGCAAUUGGAGGGCAAGUCUGGUGCCAGCAGCCGCGGUAAUUCCAGCUCCAAUAGCGUAUAUUAAAGUUGUUGCAGUUAAAAAGCUCGUAGUUGAAAUUCUGGUUGUAUUGGGCCUCUGCACUAGAUGCGAAGGUACCAGCAGCUAUCCGCCUGCAAAUACAUGUCCUUCCUUAACCGGUAGGCUGUAUGAGCAGGCAAUUUACCUUGAGAAAAACAGAGUGUUCCAGGCAGGUAUGUCCGGAAUGCAUUAGCAUGGAAUAAUAGAAUAUGACUGAAGUCGAUUUAUUGGUUUAAGGCUUUAGUAAUGAUUAAUAGGAACAGUCGGGGGCAUUAGUACUUGUCAGCUAGAGGUGAAAUUCAAGGAUUUGACAAAGACUAACUGAUGCGAAAGCGUUUGCCAAGGAUGUUUUCAUUAAUCAAGAACGAAAGUUAGGGGAUCAAAGACGAUCAGAUACCGUCCUAGUCUUAACUAUAAACUAUACCGACUCGGAUUCAGAUGAAUAUUAAAGUUCAUUUGGGACCGUAGGAGAAAUCAAAGUCUUUGGGUUCUGGGGGGAGUAUGGUCGCAAGGCUGAAACUUAAAGGAAUUGACGGUUUUGCACCACCAUGGAGUGGAGCCUGCGGCUUAAUUUGACUCAACACUGGGAAACUCAUCAGGGCAAGAAGAUUUUAGGAUUGACAGAUUGAGAGUUCUUUCUUGAUUGGUCUAGUGGUGGUGCAUGGCCGUUCUUAGUUGGUGGAGUGAUUUGUCUGGUUAAUUCCGUUAACGAACGAGACCUUAACCUGCUAACUAGUCGCCGCUCGUCCGAGCAGUGGACUUCUUAGAGGGACUUUGGGGGUUACUCCAAGGAAGUUUGAGGCAAUAACAGGUCUGUGAUGCCCUUAGAUGUCCUGGGCCGCACGCGCGCUACACUGACGCAGGCAGUAAGUCUCCACGGCAGACAUGCCCUGGUAACCUCCAAACUGCGUCGUGAUGGGGAUUGACUCUUGGAAUUUUUGGUCAUCAACGAGGAAUUCCUAGUAAACGCAAGUCAUCAGCUUGCAUUGAUUACGUCCCUGCCCUUUGUACACACCGCCCGUCGCUCCUACCGAUUUCGAGUGAUGAGGUGAACCCU
rnacentral:rRNA from 1 species